CAUCUUACCGGGCAGGAUUAGAGUUCUUUACCAAUAUCUUCUAAUACUGUCAGGUAAAGAUGUG
rnacentral:pre_miRNA from 1 species